rnacentral:rRNA from 1 species
CCCGUGCUUUUGUGGGGUGCUCGAGUGGCGAACGGGUGAGUAACACGUGAGUAACCUGCCCUUGACUUUGGGAUAACUUCAGGAAACUGGGGCUAAUACCGGAUAGGAGCUCCUGCUGCAUGGUGGGGGUUGGAAAGUUUCGGCGGUUGGGGAUGGACUCGCGGCUUAUCAGCUUGUUGGUGGGGUAGUGGCUUACCAAGGCUUUGACGGGUAGCCGGCCUGAGAGGGUGACCGGCCACAUUGGGACUGAGAAACGGUCCAA